rnacentral:rRNA from 1 species
AUGAACAAGAAGAAGAGUAACAAGAAGAAGACCAGUUCUACUCCUCCUCCUCCCCAAAAGGUAGUGUUUGUGCAAGAAGGGCACAAGGAGAAGGAGAAAGAAAAAGGGGUUGUUGGGAAUGGCAAGGUCACUAGGGACAAGGCCAUUCCCAAGGUUUUUGCCAGCAAGAACAAUCCAUCUUAUGUCCUCAUGAGAGGAGAUGAUGGUUACACAUUUGCAAAAUUUGUUGGCACUAACUAUGAUGAUUAUGCUUGGGAUAUUUGGGUUCCUAAGACCCCUGUUGCUAACUCUCUAGGACCCAUUGCAAAAUGGGUACCUAAAACCAAAGCUUGA